rnacentral:rRNA from 1 species
UACGUAGGGCGCAAGCGUUGUCCGGAAUUAUUGGGCGUAAAGAGCUCGUAGGCGGCUUGUCACGUCGGGUGUGAAAGCCCGGGGCUUAACCCCGGGUCUGCAUUCGAUACGGGCAGGCUAGAGUGUGGUAGGGGAGAUCGGAAUUCCUGGUGUAGCGGUGAAAUGCGCAGAUAUCAGGAGGAACACCGGUGGCGAAGGCGGAUCUCUGGGCCAUUACUGACGCUGAGGAGCGAAAAGCGUGGGGGAGCGAACAGG